UACGUAGGGGGCAAGCGUUGUCCGGAUUUAUUGGGCGUAAAGAGCUCGUAGGCGGUGUGGCAAGUCGGGAGUGAAAUCUCUGGGCUCAACCCAGAGUCUGCUUCCGAAACUGCUGUGCUUGAGUGUGGGAGAGGCGCGUGGAAUUGCAGGUGUAGCGGUGAAAUGCGUAGAUAUUGGGAGGAACACCAGUGGCGAAGGCGGCUCACUGGACCGGUUCUGACGCUGAGGCGCGAAAGCGUGGGGAGCAAACAGG
rnacentral:rRNA from 1 species